AGUGGCGGACGGGUGAGUAACGCGUGAGAAUCUGCCUUGGGGUCGGGGACAACCACUGGAAACGGUGGCUAAUACCGGAUAAGCCGAUUGGUGAAAGAUUUAUUGCCCGAAGAGGAGCUCGCGUCUGAUUAGCUAGUUGGUGAGGUAAGAGCUCACCAAGGCAGCGAUCAGUAGCUGGUCUGAGAGGACGAUCAGCCACACUGGGACUGAGACACGGCCCAGACUCCUACGGGAGGCAGCAGUGGGGAAUUUUCCGCAAUGGGCGAAAGCCUGACGGAGCAAGACCGCGUGAGGGAGGAAGGCUCUUGGGUUGUAAACCUCUUUUCUCAGGGAAGAAGCUCUGACGGUACCUGAGGAAUCAGCCUCGGCUAACUCCGUGCCAGCAUCCGCGGUAAUACGGAGGAGGCAAGCGUUAUCCGGAAUUAUUGGGCGUAAAGCGUCCGCAGGUGGCGAUUCAAGUCUGCUGUCAAAGCACGGGGCUUAACUCCGUAAAGGCAGUGGAAACUGAAUAGCUAGAGUGCCGUAGGGGUAGAGGGAAUUCCCGGUGUAGCGGUGAAAUGCGUAGAGAUCGGGAAGAACAUCGGUGGCGAAAGCGCUCUACUGGACGGCAACUGACACUCAGGGACGAAAGCUAGGGGAGCGAAUGGGAUUAGAUACCCC
rnacentral:rRNA from 1 species